rnacentral:lncRNA from 1 species
CUUAAGAUAACCCUGUGAAGGCUGAGAUUGAUAUUUGAAAUUCACAACUGAUCUUGGAGCCUGGUAGAGCAGUCAUGAAUGUGUUCAUGUGUGGAUGCGAUGGAACUGAGGUCGCUAGGUUCAUGCUACCUGGAGCAUGAGGCUGACAAAUAGAGGAGCACUGAGUCAAAUGAAUCUUGGAGAAAUGGAGCUGGAAGAAAACUGGAAGUUUCAUUCUUGUUGCCCAGGCUGGAGUGCAAUGGUGUGAUCUUGUCUCACCGCAACCUCGGCCUCCCAGGUUCAAGUGAUUAUCCUGUCUCAGUCUCCUGAGUAGCUAGUAUUACAGGCAUGCACCACUAUGCCCGGCUAAUUUUGUAUUUUUAGUUGAGAUGGGGUUUCUCCAUGUUGGUCAGGCUGGUCUCGAACUCCCGACCUCAGGUGAUCCGCCUGCCUCGGCCUCCCAAAGUGCUGGGAUUACAGGUGUGAACUGCCGUGUCCUGCUGAAACUUAUUUGUUUGAACAAUAAAAGCCACAUAUUUCCUC